rnacentral:rRNA from 1 species
AUACGGAGGGUGCAAGCGUUACUCGGAAUCACGGGGCGUAAAGGACGCGUAGGCGGAUUGGAAAGUCAGAUGUGAAAUCCUACAGCUUAACUGUAGAACUGCAUUUGAAACUUCUAAUCUAGAGUAUGGGAGGGGGAGAUGGAAUUAGUGGUGUAGGGGUAAAAUCCGUAGAUAUCACUAGGAAUACCGAAAGCGAAGGCGAUCUCCUGGAACAUAACUGACGCUAAGGCGUGAAAGCGUGGGGAGCAAACGGGAUUAGAUACCCUAGUAGUCC